rnacentral:hammerhead_ribozyme from 1 species
CUCUGGGACAAGUCCCAAAUAGGACGAAACGCGCGUCCUGGAU